rnacentral:tRNA from 1 species
GCCGCAAUAGUAUAAAGGUAUUACGAGGCCAUGGUAAGGCUUUAAUCGGCGUUCGAUUCUCCGUUGCGGCACCA